CUUGAGUAGAGGUUUCUCUAUCCUGCAUCAGUACAUGAAUCUCUCUGUAUUUCUUUUUCAACCACUUUUCUUAUGGAAUCGGAUAUUGUAAACUUGUGUGAAUAACUAUCUCUCACAGAACAGGAGGAAGAAGCAUUAGUAAUUGAAGAAGAAGAGGUGCUAACCCCCUAUCGAAGUGAAAAAUGUCUGUUAUUUAAAGUACUGUCUAGCAAACAUUUCAACAAAGAGGCUUUUAAUAACACAAUGCAGCUGUUAUGGUGCCCAAAUAAAACCUUGAACAUUCGAGACAUCUCCCCAAAUCUAUUCCUAGUUGAAUUUGAUGACAAAAGGGAUAAGGAGCGUGUUAAGCGUGAUGGUCCAUGGGUCUUCGACAAGCAUCUGAUCUUAACUAGAGAUGUUGAAGGCCUUGAACAAAUCCAUCAUAUUUCCUUCUUUGAGGCAAUUUUCUAGGUAAGAAUCUAUGAUCUCCCUAUCAUGGCUCGUAAUUGGAAGAUGGGAGAUUCUAUUGGACAGCAACUGGGCAAAGUAGUCGAAGUGGAUAUUGAUAAAAACAAGAUUACAAGGGGUGAAUACCUUCGUGUUCGAGUAUGUCUUAACAUCUCCAAACCCCUUCUAUGUGGAAAGAAGAUUUGUAUCGGAUCUUACAAACCUUUCUGGAUCCGUCUUGCUUAUGAGCGUUUUCCAAAUUUUUGCUACCUAUGUGGCAUUCUUGGACAUAGUCAAAAAGAAUGCUCACAAUGGCAACCCUCGAUGGAGACUUACUCAACCACAAAUAUGC
rnacentral:lncRNA from 1 species